UGAGAACUUGGCAAGUUGAAAAAUCCUUAGUAAUAGUGUGGUGACUCUUUUGCCCCUCAAAAUAUUCAAUUACAGUUUUGCCCCUUCUCCUCUUUUUCACCUUUUGUUUUACCCAUUAUUCACUUUUCCUCUCAGCCAUAUGUUUUCUGACCUUCAUUAUUCACUUUUCAGUUUUCCUCCUUUCUCUCCUCUCUUUUCAGGUUCACAAGUUUUUUUCCAAUUUGGGGAAAUCUAGAGCUAGGGUUUCGCAUGUUUCUUCCUCUGCUUCUUCUCACUCUCUCUUUCCCCGCUCCUCGUUCUUCUCGCCUCCUUCACCAUGGCCGCACUCGCAGCUCAUCUUCAAUUCCUCUUCUUCGGAUGAUGAUGCUUCCGUCGGAGUUUCGAUCUCUUCUGUUACGGAUGUUGGAGGAAAAUCUAAUCAUGAUAUUUGGAGUCUAGAGAUUCUAUAGUUUUCUAUGGUUGUAGCAAUGGCAGCAGUAAUUUCAUUUCUUUUUAUUUCAUGCCGAUAAAUUCAGUUUCUAUUAUUUGCGGUGUGAAGUAGUUUCCUCCUGUUUCUCUCUGAAAUAGGUAGAAGGAGGAAGAUGGAGCAAGGUUUGCUCGAUUCAAGUUUGAGGUGAAUAAAACUCAGAUUUGUAGGUGGCUUGGCGUUUUUUUUUUGGGUUUGCAGCAAGAUGACGAGACUUCUUUAAUGGAAGCAAGAGGACGAUGAGCUUUGGAAACAGUUUGAGGCUACACAAAAUGACUGAAUUUCAAAUCUUGCUUCAAGAACCCAACAAUGGCGGCCAUGUUUGGUUGCUGAAGUUGCUGAUUUCCCACCUUCUGAUGAUUCUAAACAAAACCCAUAUGAAGAAACUGCUUCUACUGCUGCUACUGUUGCUGCUGAAGAGAAGAAAGAUCGAAGAAAGGCAGUUAGAAUUGCGGGGAUAAGCUUGUUCAUUGGUCUCGUCUUUGCGUUCUAAGUCUAAACCCGAUGUUCUUCAAUGCACUAAAAAGAAGGAAAGCAGCUAAUGAGAACACAACAAUACAAAGUAGUAUUAGAGAUUUUGAGGUGCUUGAAAUGGGAGAGGUUAGUGGCAGCACGUCCAUGCAGGAAGUUUAUUGUAAAUAAGAAAUUAUUUUGUGUAUAACUCUUUUGUGAAUAUCAAGUUCUUAACACGAGAUCCAUUGUGUUUUUUUAGAAGGUUUUUUCUCUCUGUGACUCAAAACUCAUAGAGGUAUUGUGUUCAUUACUACUGGUGUUUUCUUUGACGAACAAAACUAAGCAUCAAUUUGUGAAAGUUGCUUAGGUAUUUCCAUAUAAUGUGAUGCUUUGAUAGGUUUGAUUUUGUGGGAUCUUUUUCUGGGAUGGCCACGAUUUUCUGGUUACUAUGGAUAAUACACAGCAUUAUUGUGCAAGAUCGGAAUUCAGAUUUGGUUCUAUUUCUCUCUCCCCAUUUUUUUUCUUCUAAUUUUUUAUAUGGAUGAAGAUUAAUUCCUUGCGGGUGUGAAUUGUGGUUGAUUCUUGUCUUCAAAUAUAUGGCCUAAUGCUAAAUUUAUUAGCUAACAUAAUCUAAAACAUGGGAUUGGUUUUCUGUUUUACUAGAGUAUGUUUUAGUAUGAUGUUGUGGUCAAUUAUAUGUUCAUUGAUGAAAGAAUUAGUUAAAAAGGCUAUUUUUUUAGAUGAAAAAAAAAUUAUUUUAGUUGAUUAUUUUAGUUAAAAACUCAUUCACUGAAACAAGAGGUCAGAACUCAGAAGUGAAUUAUGCUUAAACUUUCUGCAUUGAGGUCCCUUUUCUUCAAAAAUCCCUUUAACUGAUUGUCGAUUACUUAUUUUCUGUCUUGACAUUGUUUUUAGAUUUUACAACUCGAGAAAAGGUUGCAGAACCAAUUCGCUGUUCGGUGUGCUUUAGAAAAUGCAUUAGGUUCUGGAGUGUCCUCCUACGAGAAAAAUGAACCUUCUACAAUCCCAAAGCUUGCAACAAAUUUUAUAAAGGAAAUUGCAGUGCUAGAGUUGGAAGUUGGGUAUCUGGAGCAGUAUCUUCUGUCACUACACAUUAAACGUCAUCAAUUUCUCCAACUAUAAA